rnacentral:rRNA from 1 species
UACGUAGGGUGCGAGCGUUGUCCGGAAUUACUGGGCGUAAAGGGCGCGUAGGCGGCCUGCUAAGUCGAACGUGAAAUCCCUGGGCUCAACCCAGGAACUGCGUCCGAUACUGGUUGGCUUGAAUUCGGGAGAGGGAUGUGGAAUUCCAGGUGUAGCGGUGAAAUUCGUAGAUAUUAGGAAGAACACCAGUGGCGAAGGCGGCUCACUGGCUCGGUACUGACGCUGAGGCGCGAAAGCGUGGGGAGCAAACAGG